rnacentral:rRNA from 1 species
GAUGAACGCUGGCGGCGUGCCUAAUACAUGCAAGUCGAGCGCACGAACUUGAUACUUGUAUCUAUGGUAUUAGCGGCGGACGGGUGAGUAACACGUGGAGAACCUGCCUAUAAGACUGGGACAACUUCGGGAAACCGGAGCUAAUACCGCAUAAUAUCUUUAACCACAUGGUUUAAAAGUGAAAGACGGUCUUGCUGCCCUCAAUAGAUAGAUCCACGUUGCUUUAGUAAGUUGGUAAGUUAACGGCUAACCAAGGCAACAAUCAUAAGCGGACCUGGGAGGUUGAUCGGCCCCAUGGGAACGGGGACACGCUCCAGACCCCUACGGGAGGCGGCAGUAGGGAAUCUUGGCCAAUGAGCGAAGGCCUGACGGAGCAACGCGGCGUGGUGGAUGAAGUUUUCCGGAUCGUAAACCUUGGUUAUUAGGGAGGAACAUAUGUGUAAUUAACUGCGCACAACGUGACGGUAACUACUCAGAAAGCCACGGCUAACUACGUG